GAGAAGGAGGGCGCUAAAAAAUAAUGCGUUGUGACUCUUCAGAAACAUCGCUGAAAAGCCCGCGAAGACUCCUUCUACUUUAAGACUCUUUGGUGCCACUUAUAUCAGAUAAUCUCUUGGUUUUGAAUCAUUUAAGGAAAGAGUUUCUAUGUGUAAAAAUCUGAAAUUAAUCUGAUCAAUGGAUAGAAGCUUAUCACACCUUUUAUUGGGUGCGUGCGAGAGAGGAAUGAAACACCGUAUCUGAUAAGAGAGUUUCACCUGCAGAAGGACUCUUAUCAUAUAUGACUUUUCAUUAAUUUAGGAUGUGGAUAAGCCUCUAAAAAUCAAUAUGGGGCAUGUGGAU
rnacentral:lncRNA from 1 species